rnacentral:rRNA from 1 species
UACGAAGGGGGCUAGCGUUGCGCGGAAUCACUGGGCGUAAAGCGCACGUAGGCGGCUUUCUAAGUCAGGGGUGAAAUCCUGGAGCUCAACUCCAGAACUGCCUUUGAUACUGGAGAGCUAGAGUCCGGAAGAGGUGAGUGGAACUGCGAGUGUAGAGGUGAAAUUCGUAGAUAUUCGCAAGAACACCAGUGGCGAAGGCGGCUCACUGGUCCGGUACUGACGCUGAGGUGCGAAAGCGUGGGGAGCAAACAGG